rnacentral:rRNA from 1 species
UACGGAGGGUGCAAGCGUUAUCCGGAUUCACUGGGUUUAAAGGGUGCGUAGGUGGGGAGGUAAGUCAGCGGUGAAAUCCCCGAGCUUAACUUGGGAACUGCCAUUGAUACUAUCUCUCUUGAAUACCUUGGAGGUGAGCGGAAUAUGUCAUGUAGCGGUGAAAUGCUUGAUAUGACAUAGAACACCAAUUGCGAAGGCAGCUCACUACACGGUCAUUGACACUGAGGCACGAAAGCGUGGGGAUCAAACAGG